rnacentral:rRNA from 1 species
UACGUAGGGUGCAAGCGUUGUCCGGAAUUAUUGGGCGUAAAGAGCGUGUAGGCGGCCUGAAAGGUCAGCUGUGAAAACUCGAGGCUUAACCUCGAGACGUCGGUUGAAACCAUCUGGCUAGAGUCCGGAAGAGGAGUGUGGAAUUCCCGGUGUAGCGGUGAAAUGCGCAGAUAUCGGGAAGAACACCCGUGGCGAAGGCGGCACUCUGGGACGGUACUGACGCUGAGACGCGAAAGCGUGGGGAGCGAACAGG